rnacentral:rRNA from 1 species
GACGAACGCUGGCGGCGUGCCUAAUACAUGCAAGUCGAACGCAGUGGGGACGGGUGAGUAACACGUGGGUAACCUCCCAUCAGAGGGGAUAACACUUGGAAACAGGUGCUAAACCGAUACUGAUGGAUGGACCCGCGGUGCAUUCGCUAGUUGGUGAGGUAACGGCUCACCAAGGCCACGAUGCAUAGCCGACCGUAGAGGCUGAUCGGCAAUACUGGAACUGAGAAACGGCCCAGACUCAUACGGGAGGCAGCAGUAGGGAAUCUGUGGCAAUGGAUGAAAGUAUGACCGAGCAACGCCGAGUGAGUGAAGAAGGUUUGCGGAUCGUAAAACUCUGUGGUUAGAGAAGCGGUAUAUAACCAGAAAGCCACGGAUAACUACGUGCCAGCCGCCGCGGUAAUAC